AUUGUCUUUGAUGAAGAUGUAGGCAGACUUUACAUCUUGGGGGAUGUUGUACAGUAGCACAGAUGGUUUUAUUUGCACCAGCUCUAUAAAACAUCAUAUACACUGCCCUGGUGAGAAGUGUGCCUGGAAAGAGAAACACCUGAGCUAUGACUUCUUGGAGCAGAUCUUCCUGACCUGAGACAAGACCAUGGUGACUGGGGACAUCCUCAUAGAUGACACGACCAGACAUCCAA